rnacentral:rRNA from 1 species
GACGAACGCUGGCGGCGUGCUUAACACAUGCAAGUCGAGCGGUAAGGCCCUUUCGGGGGUACACGAGCGGCGAACGGGUGAGUAACACGUGGGUGACCUGCCCUCAGCUCUGGGAUAAGCCUGGGAAACCGGGUCUAAUACCGGAUAUGACUCCAUGACGCAUGUUGUGGGGUGGAAAGCCUUGUGCGGCUGAGGAUGGGCCCGCGGCCUAUCAGCUUGUUGGUGGGGUGGAUGGCCUACCAAGGCGACGACGGGUAGCCGGCCUGAGAGGGCGACCGGCCACACUGGGACUGAGACACGGCCCAGACUCCUACGGGAGGGCAGCAGUGGGGAAGUCUUGCGCAAUGGGCGAAAGCCUGACGCAGCGACGCCGCGUGAGGGAUGACGGCCU